rnacentral:rRNA from 1 species
CCAGAGAACUUAGCAGAGAUGCUUUGGUGCCUUCGGGAACUCUGAGACAGGUGCUGCAUGGCUGUCGUCAGCUCGUGUUGUGAAAUGUUGGGUUAAGUCCCGCAACGAGCGCAACCCUUAUCCUUUGUUGCCAGCGGUCCGGCCGGGAACUCAAAGGAGACUGCCAGUGAUAAACUGGAGGAAGGUGGGGAUGACGUCAAGUCAUCAUGGCCCUUACGAGUAGGGCUACACACGUGCUACAAUGGCGCAUACAAAGAGAAGCGACCUCGCGAGAGCAAGCGGACCUCAUAAAGUGCGUCGUAGUCCGGAUUGGAGUCUGCAACUCGACUCCAUGAAGUCGGAAUCGCUAGUAAUCGUGGAUCAGAAUGCCACGGUGAAUACGUUCCCGGGCCUUGUACACACCGCCCGUCACACCAUGGGAGUGGGUUGCAAAAGAAGUAGGUAGCUUAACCUUCGGGAGGGCGCUUACCACUUUGUGAUUCAUGACUGGGGUGAAGUCGUAACAAGGUAAGCGUAGUGCU